UACGUAGGGGGCUAGCGUUAUCCGGAAUUACUGGGCGUAAAGGGAGCGUAGGCGGACUUUUAAGUGAGAUGUGAAAUACCCGGGCUCAACUUGGGUGCUGCAUUUCAAACUGGAAGUCUAGAGUGCAGGAGAGGAGAAUGGAAUUCCUAGUGUAGCGGUGAAAUGCGUAGAGAUUAGGAAGAACACCAGUGGCGAAGGCGAUUCUCUGGACUGUAACUGACGCUGAGGCUCGAAAGCGUGGGGAGCAAACAGGAUUAGAUACCCCGGUAGUCCCU
rnacentral:rRNA from 1 species